rnacentral:rRNA from 1 species
AGCCCGACUUCUGGAGGGCUGUAUUUAUUAGAUAAAAGACCAAUAUUCCUCGCGUCUAUUGUGGUGAAUCAUAGUAACUGAUCGGAUCGCAUGGGCUUGUCCCGCGACAAACCAUUCAAGUUUCUGCCCCAUCAGCUUUCGAUGGUAGUGUAUUGGACUACCAUGGCUUUCACGGGUAACGGGGGAUUAGGGUUCGAUUCCGGAGAGGGAGCCUGAGAAACGGCUACCACAUCUAAGGAAGGCAGCAGGCGCGUAAAUUACCCAAUCCUAAUUCAGGGAGGUAGUG